UUGCAGGAACAUUCCCAGGAACUCCUGGAAAGGGCUCACCAGCAGGAAUGGACCUCAGUGCUGAUGGCAACAACCAGUUCUUCCUGUGUGCUCACGGCCUCAUGGUUCUUUGAGGCCAAGCCUCUGAAUAUGCCUUAUUUAAAUUUCAGAAGUGUCUGAGGCAUAAACACUGUCAUUAUCCUAACUCCCAGAUGAGGAACGGCAUCUCAUGCCAUUAAUGUCAUUGGCUCUGAAUCCUACAGGUAGGGGAGGUGGAGGUGGAAGCCACACAAAGGUCGGGAAGAAGUUCUGUCCACCAGAAGGUAAAGGAAGGGCAGGCUCCAGAGGCAACCACCAGGUGGCGCUGCUGCUACAAGAAUGAAGCAUCAAGACCCCGCGCGAGGUGGGCAGGCUAGGGAGCGGUGCCCGCCCCUCUGCUCCUCCAGGCUGGGCGGCACAUCUGACUUGCAGUUGGGCAAUGGUAACCCUCUGGGCCCCAGACACAGCCUCUGGGGCCUCAUCCUAAACAAACCAAUUAAGGCUUGUGCAAAAAGUUGUAUUCCAACCGCUGCUCCCUGACACUUGGACCGUUUGCGGUGGAAUGAGCUGAAUUAUUUAUAUUCUUCCCUCCUUCAGUCAAGGAGACAGGAAAAUGGAAUCUGCCACCAGGACGCCAGUCUCCAUGCUUGGCAACAGGGAGGCUCUGCAGUCUGGGUGCCGCCACAUGAGCACACAGGCCACACACCCAAUCCUGGGGCCGCAGACAGGUGGCGUGGAGCUGGAGGUGUGGGGCACAGGCUGGUGCUCUACUGUUCUUGGACAAUUUGACUCCUUCUCUGGGCCCAACCUGAGCACUCAGCCGAGAGCCCAGGGGCGUUCGCCCGUGACAGUGUCGGCAGGGCAUACGGUUUGUAACAGUCAGCGUUAACGUCCAUUUGACAAUCUGUGAUCACCCGGGAGAGCCACCCGUGAGCAUGCCGAAAUGGAGAAAAAUGUUGUUUUAGGAAAAACUUGCGAUGACUCGGAGGCCUCCCAUAAGCUAGAGAGAAACAACAUGCCACUCGGUCAUAGGAAACGCCCUGACAUUUCCGUCAUGACUUAAACACGUGUGUCACUUUAAAGCAUCCUCCGGUUCCACAGAGAAGAGACAAGGACAAAUGACAUCAUCACCACUGCGACCGCUUGAUCCCCGCCAUCACUCUGACUCCCAACAUGCAAAUCCUAAAGAGCCUGAGUGCGGUAUUAAACAUCCCCUCAGUCAGCUCUUUGCUGCUCUCUCCUUUGUGCCUAAUAGCUUUCUUUGGAGCGUUGUCUCU